rnacentral:lncRNA from 1 species
AUUGCAUGGUGGUGGUUGGGUCCCACACAAAUACCUGACACCUGCAAGGGACCUGGGAAGGGCUGGGUGGCUGCCUGGUUGCACGGCUGGGCUGGUGGUCAGGAGAGCAGGGGUCAAGCCAAGGCAGGAGGUUCUAUUUUGUGGGAGCCUUUGUCCUGUUCCUUCCUCUCCUGAACUGAAGCAGAUGAUGUUUUGCCUCUGAGCUGUUGAUUUCCUUUCUUUGAAAGAGGCAGAGCAAACGCCAGGGAAUGAGCAGCAAUGCGGUAAGUGUGUCUAUGGGGCUGGGAGCCAGGGGGGCUGGGUUCUCUCCCUAGCUCUGCUGCUGAGUCACUGCAUGACUUUAGAUGAGCUCUGUCCCUCAGUUUCCCCCUCCAUAAAAGAGGAUUAUAAAUUUCCACCCCCUCCCCCGGAGCAGGACAGAAGGUCUUUCCAAUCCCCUGGGUAGUUUAUCUGGGGGGAGAGGGGGCCUCUGUGCAUUCCCCUUUGUUAUUACACAUCACCGAGCAGUCCCAGAGCAGUGGCUCGCGGCCUCACUUCUGCCUGCCUUGCAGCACCAGCCGGGCCCUGGGGAGACCCUGAUGUCUGGAUGCAUCUAUGAGAAGAACACCCAGGACUAUGGCCUGGGGCAGCCAGCCGCAUGUUAGAUACGCGCCUCCUCCUGGGGGAUAGCGCGACCACCGAGCUGUGCCCGGGCUCUCCGGCCGGCAUCGGGCAAUCCCACACCUACAGCCAGACAAUGAACAUGGGCAAAGUACUGCAGGUGAGUGACUCAUUCCUCUGUGUAUACGAGGCCCUGGACUCCUGGGUUCUAUCCCCAGCUCCUGGAGGGGUGUGGGGUCGAGUGGUUAGAGCAGGGAGUGGGCUGGGCUGUGAGUCUUUAGGUUGUUCCUACAAAGAAGCCCAG